GUCCUUGUUCAUGUUCCAAUAUAUUGUAUAAAUUUGCUGGGUCCAAAUUUUGGGGUUUUCGAGUCGUUUAAUACAAAAAGAAAAACAUUAAUUCAACACGUACGAAAGUCCAGAGUGCGACACAAAAAUGAACACAAGUACACAACGGAUUUUUAUGAGUCUACAACGUAUAUUUAUAGUUGUUUACUAAAGUCAAACUGUCAAACCUUUAACUUGUCCUUGUUACUUGUAUUCCACUAUAUUCUAUGUUAGGAUAGGGAGAUAGGGACUCAGGAGGUCUGAAACUGGUAAUUGUGCGCGUGCGUACAAGUGUAUGCGCUAAUAAAGAAAGAUGUACCACAAGCAUGGCAUCAGCCGGCUACUACGUACAUAGAUACGAGUUUGUUACGAUGAAAAGUAAAUCAAGCAGUCGAGAAAUCGAUGGCAUUUGAACCGAUGGCAUUUUGGCUUAAUCGUUGCACCUUGAGCCUUCGAUGCGCUAACGCAAACUCCAUUUCUCGAC